rnacentral:rRNA from 1 species
GACGAACGCUGGCGGCGUGCUUAACACAUGCAAGUCGAGCGGGAGAAUCUGGUGCUUGCACCAGAGGAUCUAGCGGCGGACGGGUGAGUAACACGUGGGCAACCUGCCCUAAGGAGGGGAAUAACAGGCCGAAAGGUCUGUUAAUACCGCAUACGACAUUAGCUUCGCAUGGAGCAUAGGUUAAGGAUUUAUCGCUUUUGGAGGGGCCUGCGGCGGAUCAGCUAGUUGGUGGGGUAACGGCUCACCAAGGCAACGAACCGUAGCUGGUGUGAGGGGAUGGCCAGCCAGACUGGGACUGAGACACGGCCCAGACUCCUACGUGAGGCAGCAGUUAGGGAUCUUGUGCAAUGGGGGAAACCCUGACACAGCAACGCCGCGUGAGGGAUGAAGGCCUUCGGGUCGUAAACCUCUUUUCUGAGGGAAGAAACCUGACGGUACCUCAGGAAUAAGCAACGGCUAACUACGUGCCAGCCGCCGCCGUAAGAC